UCUGUUAAGUGUCAGGGGUUUCGAAAUGAACCCCAGUGAAAUUUAGGUUUCACCUUUUUUUUCAUUUCUUCCUUUUCAUAACUUUUAAAAUUUUCAGUUUGAAUAUUCAACUUUUCUCUCUUUCUCAUGGUGUACCUACGACGAAGAUGAAGAAGCUUUCGCUCUUCUCUGUGUGCCUUCCACCGUUCUCCCUCUUCUUACGUGUGACGAUAUUUCUCUUUCGAUUUUAUCUCUCUAAUUUCGUCUCAGUCCCAUUUUGAAGUUCUCAUUUUGGUUGUGCGUCGCUGCCCUCGAUUUUUGAAUUGAUUUCAGUUUCUUUCUUUCUCAUGCCCUAACUCAGUUCUUUGCCUAACUCUUUCGAUUUCCAUAAUUUAUGUUAUGUUUCCACGGGCCAUGAGAUCUGCAGAGACUCAAGAGAGAAAAUCGAUGCUUUGGUUACAGGGAUAGGAACUGGAGGAUUAAUAACAGGUGCUGGAAAAUUCCUCAAGCAGAAAAACCCAAUCAUCAAGAUGCAACCACAGAUACCUAAUAUUGGGACUCAUUACUAUUAAUCAAAAGUUCAGUGGUUUUGGUUUGCAAAUGCAGUUUUAGAGGUGCCUUGGGUCAAGUGAGUCAUGCCUAAAUCCAAAAGAGUUAGUGAUGACAAGACUAACAGAAGUGGAAGGAGGGGUAUGGUUCUUCCUUUUCAACCUUUAUCCCUCACUUUUGAUGAGAUCAAGUAUUCUAUAAACAUGCCACGGGAAAUGAAACAACAAGGAGUUUUUGAAGAACGUCUAGAACUUUUGAAGGUUGUUAGUGGUGUCUUUAGGCCAGGAGUACUAACAGCUCUGAUGGGUGUAAGUGGUGCUGGUAAGACUACUUGAUGGAUGUUCUAGCUGGAAGGAAAACUGGUGGAUAUAUUGAAGGGAACAUCACAAUAUCUGGAUACAUAAAGAGGCAAGAAACAUUUGCAAGAAUCUCAGAACAAUUUGAUAUUCACUCACCCAAUGUUAUAGUUUAUGAAUCUUUGCUAUAUUCGGCCUGGCUUCGUUUACCCGGUGAAGUUGAUCGCGCAACUAGAAAGGAUUUAAUGACUACUACAUUGAGCAAUUAGAAGUUAACUCUUGAUGGUUAUAAGCAGGAUUAGUAGCUGAUGGGAGGCAAAUUGUUGCCCAAGCCAAGUCUGAAGCAACUAUGACAUGUUUGCUUAAUUCUCUUGUAAUAUAGAUGCUUCCUCUCCUCACCCCUUUUAUUUAUCUAAAUGUUUGAUGAUUACCAUAUUUUCUUAUUACUGUUGUCAUGGACUAAUUUGACACCUUGUAGCAAUCAAAGAAGAAUUGUAGUUAAACUAGGAAAAAUUGUGAGAAUUAUUAUCUGUAAACAUGUGGUUUCUAGGAAGUAGUAGAUGAGGACAAUGGCAUCGGGAUUGAGAUUUAAUAAAUCGUCACAACUCCCUAUUGAAAUCUGCAACCUCUGCAUCUGCUUGUUGUGAAAUUGGCACCAUGCUCUUGGAAGUCUCGUUAUUCAUUAAUCACUUUUCUGUCAAUGGUGAAUGGUGUUUUGAAAGAUUUUAUAUAUUACUGCAGACAAAUAUAUUGGAAUGCUAUUGUUUCCUUUUGUUA